UACGUAGGUGGCAAGCGAUACUCGGAAUCACUAGGCGUAAAGCGCAGGUAGGAGGUUUGGUAAGUCUGUUGUGAAAGCUCCCGGCUCAACUGGGAGAGGUCAACGGAAACUACUAGGCUAGAGUGCGGUAGAGGUAGCUGGAAUUCCCGGUGUAGCGGUGAAAUGCGUAGAUAUCGGGAGGAAUACCUAUGGCGAAAGCAGGCUACUGGACCGUCACUGACUCUGAUCUGCGAAAGCUAGGGGAGCAAACAGG
rnacentral:rRNA from 1 species